rnacentral:lncRNA from 1 species
AUGGAUAAAAUGUGUCUCCUUUGUCUCUACUAGAAAAUGAAAGGAAUUGAAAUUAAGAGAAGAGAGGGAGUGAAGGGUGGCACCAAGAAUGAAAGGAGAAAGAGGUUGAGGGAUAGUGAGAAAGGUUGGAGAAGAGAGUAAAAAGAGGCCACUUACCCGAUUUAAAAUUUGUGAGAUGUUCCUUGGGCUGGUUGGUCUGAGGACCAAAGGUCGUAGGUGGAUCUCUUCAUGGAGUGAGGGUGAGGACAGGGGACAGUCUCCUGAAGGAGUCCUGCUGACCUGGGUCUUUGGCACCAAAUGUGUCAUGCAUCCAUGUGAAGAGACCACCAAACAAGCUUUGUGUGAGCAACAAGGCUGUUUAUUUCACCUGGGUGCAGACGAGUUGAGUCCAAAAAGAGAGUCAGCCCAGUCUAUAUCUUUUAAAUGGGAAAAUUCAAUCUAUUUACAUGCAACGUUAUUCUUGAUAGUGCCACUGGGUUAGAGUCUCCCCGACCAAGCUGGUCUCAGCAAGUGGUCUCCAUCAUGGGGGCUCGAAUCCAGGUUGAAGGGUCACCAGAGUGAUGGUUGGAGAACAUGGAACUAGCUGGAGGACACCUGAGUACUCUUAAAGCAAACCCCGUGGCCAAAAUCAAUAACCAAUUUGGAUACCAUCAAGACACCUGAAACCUUAUCAUGAGCCAGAUGCUGAGGAAGAGAUUCCAGGAGGAUCCUGAGGACCCCCUGGUUGCAGCCACGUCGAGGCUGACACUGAGGAGGACCCCAACUGUCAUGAGCAACACCCGUCGAACACAGCCAUCCACCUGGGGACAAAUCAAGAAGCUGUCACAGAUGAUGGAAGAAAACCUGAGGAAAGCGGGACAACCAAUCACAAUGAGUAAUUUGGUGAUCUAUCACAGUGAUGAUCACCAUUGCCAUGAGUAUUCCUUCAACAAGGGCUGACACAGAGAACAAUUAUACUUAUUGGGCAUAUUUAUCAAUCUUGUCUGGCAAUAAUGCCUAGAUGAUUUCACUCUAUGGCACAGUUACACAUGCUUUCUGAUCUCAGUAUUUACCAUAAUAAAUCUGCUCCUAUAAUUGAGGCAUACCACCCUCAAAAACCUAUUUGUAAACAAAAUAGAACCUGGCCAGAAAUAAUGAACAACUUGUUUAGUAAGAUUGCAUUGCAGAACAGGCAGAGAUGCUACGCAAUGAUUCCUAUGGGAUCAUUGAUUGGUCCCCUAAGGGGAUGUUUAGCUUAAAUUGCACCUCUCAGUCUGCAUGCCAUGGCCACACUAGUUCAGAUGGUCUGAACAAAGUGGUCAGAUGGCAGAAAUGAUAAGAAGUAUGGCAAAAGUUCCUAUUGUCUGGAACCAUGGCAGUAUAGUGUCACCUCAACCUCAAAUGAUAUGGCUCAUUGUAGGAGCUAAACAUAAGGAUUUGUGGAAACUAUUAAUAGCUCUUAAUAAGAUCAAAAUUUGGGAAAGAAUAAAAAAAGCAUCUAGAAAGACACUCUACAAACUUGUCUUUGGAUAUUACAAAAUUAAAAGAACAAAUAUUUAAAGCAUCCCAGGUACACCUGACCUUAAUGACAGAAACUGGAGUGCUUGAAGGAGCUGCAGACAGAUUAGCAGCUAGUAACCCAUUAAAAUGGAUAAAAACACUUGGAAGCUCUGUGAUUUCAAUGAUGAUUGUGCUUUUAAUCGGUAUUGUUUGUCUUUGUAUAGUGUGCAGAUGUGGAUCCUGACUCCUGUGAGAAGUAGCUCACAGUGUCAAAGCUGCCUUUGCUUUUAUCGAUUUGCAAAUCAAAUAAGGGGGACAUAUUGGGAACAGCACCCCCCCCCCCAAAAUCUGGCCAUAAACUGGUCCCAAAACUGGCCAUAAACAAAAUCUCUGCAGCACUGACAUGUUCAUGAUGGUCUUAAUGCCCACGCUGGAAGGUUGUGGGUUUACCAGAAUGAGAGCAAGGAACACCUGGCCCACCCAGGGUGGAAAACCACUUAAAGGCAUUCUUAAACCACAAACAAUAGCAUGAGUGAUCUGUGCCUUAAGGCUGUGCUACUGCUGCAGAUAACUAGCCCAACCCAUCCCUUUAUUUCAGCCCAUCCCUUCGUUUCCCAUAAGGGAUACUUUUAAUUAAUCUAAUAUGUAUAGAAAGAAUGCUAAUGACUGGCUUGCUGUUAAUAAAUAACGUGGGUAAAUCUCUGUUGGAGGCUCUCAGCUCUGAAGGCUGUGAGACCCCGGAUUUCCCACUUCACACCUCUGU